UACGUAGGGGGCAAGCGUUGUCCGGAUUAUUGGGCGUAAAGAGCGUGUAGGCGGCCGUACAGGUCAGCUGUGAAAACUCGAGGCUCAACCUCGAGACGUCGGUUGAAACCGUACGGCUAGAGUCCGGAAGAGGAGAGUGGAAUUCCCGGUGUAGCGGUGAAAUGCGUAGAUAUGCGGAGGAACACCGAUGGCGAAGGCAAUCCCCUGGCCUGUACUGACGCUCAUGCACGAAAGCGUGGGGAGCAAACAGGAUUGAGAAAC
rnacentral:rRNA from 1 species